GACGAACGCUGGCGGCGUGCUUAACACAUGCAAGUCGAACGGAAAGGCCCUGCUUUUGUGGGGUGCUCGAGUGGCGAACGGGUGAGUAACACGUGAGUAACCUGCCCUUGACUUUGGGAUAACUUCAGGAAACUGGGGCUAAUACCGGAUAGGAGCUCCUGCUGCAUGGUGGGGGUUGGAAAGUUUCGGCGGUUGGGGAUGGACUCGCGGCUUAUCAGCCUGUUGGUGGGGUAGUGGCUUACCAAGGCUUUGACGGGUAGCCGGCCUGAGAGGGUGACCGGCCACAUUGGGACUGAGAUACGGCCCAGACUCCUCCGGGAGGCAGCAGUGGGGAAUAUUGCACAAUGGGCGGAAGCCUGAUGCAGCAACGCCGCGUGCGGGAUGACGGCCUUCGGGUUGUAAACCGCUUUCGCCUGUGACGAAGCGUGAGUGACGGUAAUGGGUAAAGAAGCACCGGCUAACUACGUG
rnacentral:rRNA from 1 species